GUUGCAACUGAUAUUUAAAUUUUAAGUCAUUAGUAAUUUUAAAACUGUAAUAGUUAAGUAAUUAAUAAUAGUAUGUUGAGUCUUUUUAACCCUAUGCUGAAACUGCGAAUCACUUUCUUAAUUUCCAGAUCUGCUUGAAGGUGAAGUUGAAUAACUUUUCCUGUUACGUUAAACAUGCAGAUAUGGAGUACUAACAAUACUGCCACGCUAAGAAGGUUAUAGAUAUUUAUUGACAGAUACCCAGAGAGUUUAUUCAUACUGUUAAUAUUUCUUGCUCGUUUUCUUAAUAAAAUUGUUAAUUAAAAGUUAAAUUAUCCAUUCUUUUCUCCAACCUACGUAAUAUUUUUAUUAUCUGGAGUCAUGAUUAGGAAGGUAUCGCCCAUAAACAUUAUGUUAGUUAAUGCACAGGUUUUAGGUUGAAAGAGGCAUAAAAUCAGAACCUUAAAAUAGUUGAAUGAGAAGGAGAAAAGUGUAUAUAUAACAUAUAUUAACAACAGUGACUCAUUUAGUCCUUCAAGGCAGUUGUUGCAAACCCACCACUGAAGAGAAAUGAGUAUUUUUUAAUUCACCCUUUUUUUCAAAAAUCCAUCAAUUUCCUUGUGAAACUGCUUGUAAAGGGCUGGUCUUCAUUACUUCCAAAAGCUCUACACAUUCAAUAAGCUAAUUACCCUGUUUGAAAAAUAAAACUUUUUAAUAUGAGCCUAACUUAUACUUGUUUCCUCUUGUCCUGUUAUCUUCAGAAUAUAGCACAAAGAAAAUGGAGAUCUUUAUCCUAUUGAUCUUGGAAAUGUUGUAAACUUCAAUAAAACCACUUUUUACCUUUUGUUUCUUAAGAAGAGUAAGUUAAGAGAUCAUAACCCAUCCCCAUAAAACAACCCUGGAAUUAUCCUAGUAGCUAUCUCCUCUGAACCCUUUCCAUUAUGUCAGUAACAAUUCUUAGAUAAAGAUUCCAAAUGAAGCCUCAUCAGCUCUGGAUAAGGAAGUUAUAGUGAGGUUGACAUGUUGUUCAUUUUUCUUUACUUUUACUCUUUUAAGUUUUACUAUAGUUCUGUAAGUCUUCCAAAUUGCACGUCAAUUUAAACUUCUUGAAACUUAAAGUAAUUUGUUCCUGAUUUUCUUCUUUAUUUCUAUCAGCCAGUUAGGUGUGAUUUUCCCUGGUAUCCUUUUCAUUUUUAGGAGCAAGCUUAUCUUGAAUUAAAAGCAAUUUAUUUUCUUUUUUUAAGAUGUUCCUACUCUGUCCCACUUAACAUUCAUUGUCCCUGUUUUCUAACAGUAAAUUUUGUUUAAUGGCUUCCUAAAAUUUUUAAAUGGACUGGAGACAAAAUGGGUUCAAUCCAAGAUUGCUUUGUGUUCAUUGAUGUUUUUACUAAAUGAAAUCUGUAUGUGAAGCUUCUUUUAUGUCUCUUAUUGAUGGACGGCCAGUGACUUUUGAAGCCAGUGGUAUCCAAACACCUCAGAAAUACAUGAACUCUUUAAAUACAAUGGGGGACAAUGGAAAAGGAUCACCACAGAGAUGGCAUCCAAGUAAACCAAAGUGACAAAACCUGCAACUGUAAUAAUGAUUCAUGAAUGCUGUUAAACAACACUUUAUAAUCAUUUUGACUUAUUAGCUUUUAUCAAACUAUAAAGGUAAAUGAUUUUAAUAAAGAAAACAUUUUUAGAUUUAUGUGAUUAUACAUUACUAUACUGUCAAACUCUUAACAGUAGUUUCAUUGGGUGUUAUGUGACUGUAGUGAAAGUUAAUUAUGAAAUAUUUUGUAACUGUAAUUUCAAGUUCCUGAUGAUAACAGUUAUCUAUUAUACUAAAUUAGGAAUUUUACCUUAAGACUUAUUCUUGAGGUGGGAUGUUUUUCCUAACAUUGCUUACUAUAAACUGACUUAACUGACAGUUUUUCCAGAAUGUGCUGUACAGCACAUUACUAUCCAGUAAUGCACUUUAUUAACCACAAUGCACUCUUCAUUUUAACAGGUUAAUUCUUGAUAUAGAGAGUAUACAUUAAAUUCAUUGUAUAGUUUUUACUAUUUUUACCUUGUCUAAAUAAUGAAAAAGUUAUGCUACAACUGAACUGUUGCUAAAGGCUACAAUAGUAUUCAUUUGAAUUAUGUAGAACUAUAGACUUACACAUGUGUAAUUGGUUGUUCCCUGUUAUAUAAAUCCUUAUGAUAUAUAUUAUUGCCACAGUUUAUGGUUAUGUAUUAUACAGAGUUGCACUGUUUUAACUGUAUGUACAUGGGUGUGAGUCAAAGUGCACAUGAUACAACGUUUUAACAUAGUAUUAUGUAUUAGUUAUCAGCUGUUCAUUUUACCCUAAGUUGCUGAUUUAAUAAGAGUUUGCAGUAGUAAUAAGUAAAUACUAGAUACAAUAUAAAGGGUAUUGAAGAAACUGUAAAUAGGCAUUUUAGAGGUUGUUGAGGUUAUGCAAGUGUAAUAUAGAAACUAUGACAGACAGACGAACAUCAAUUCCCACUCUAACUUAUCGGUGUCUAAGUCAGACUGACAUGGUAAAUUCACAGACAUACCUUGAAUACAAAUACUUUUUAAUGCAUCUAAUUUGUUGUGUAAAAACAACUUGUGAUUUUGACCGAAAGCUUGCCACAUUUCAUGUGCAUACUUAAUAAAUUUGUUAUUAUAGUCAUUAUUUCCUCAUUUCAACAUACAAUCAGUCCAAUGGACUGACCCUGUGCACAUUUGGUUAAGAUGCUGAUCACUUGAGUACUCAGUUAACUUCCCCAAAAGAGGGCCAAAUGUUGCCUGGAGGUGUCACCUGUUUUAGCUACUCGCACCACUAUACAGUAGUUUGUUGUCUAUCAGUCAGUCAGACACUAAAAUGAUGUCACAUAAGGGACAUGUCAUGAAUCACAAGAAGAAUUAUGCACCCUGUAGGUUAGAACACAAAAGCAAGAAAUAAAAAAUAUUUCUUAAUUUUGAUUUUAUUUACUUUUGAAAUAGAACAUUUUCAGAGACCCUGCAGAAGUACAUCUAGUAUAAAUGUUAAAGAUGUGUAGCACACAUUGUUACAUAAAAUGGACUUGCAUUCCUAAAGAUGAAACUUCUGAAAUGAGAGUAAUAGUAUACACAAAGUAACAUAGUGAAUUAAAGAAGUUCUUGAAGAACUCUCACUGGAUGGUGUUUACUGUAGUAAAACAAAAUUUCAUGGAUACAAAGAAGUAAAAUAAUGAAUUAAAAAUGCUCAUGAAGACCUCUCACUGAGUGAUGUUUACUGUAGUAAAAACUUUCAUAAACACAGAGUAAAAUAUAAAGUAAAGAAGCUUGUGAAGACUCUCUGGAUGAUGUUUACUGUAGUAAAAACUUUCAUAAACACAGAGUAAAAUAUUAAAGUAAAGAAGCUUGUGAAGACUCUCUGGAUGAUGUUUACUGUAGUAAAAACUUUCAUAAACACAGAGUAAAAUGAUAAAGUAAAGAAGCUUGUGAAGACCUCUCUGGAUGAUGUUUACUACAGUUAAACAAAACUUCACAUACAUAAAGUAACAUAGUGAUUUAAAGAAGUUCAAUGGACAUGUUGAUCAUAGAAAAGCAAAGUUUUAUGAAGUCAUGAAAUCAUGAGUCUUAUUGAACACACUAAUGUUUCUUGUAUCAUAUUACAAAAUAAAAAAUAUAUAGAUAUGUCUACUUUUGUGUUCAGCUUUCAUGAUGUUACUUGUUCUGGUGUUGCUCAUCUUGUGAUAACUUGGUGUAAAAUUUGUCCUUAGUGUUAAAGUAUUGAUACAAAAUGUUUCUCUAUUUAAGUUCUUGUAAAGUAGCAGUUAAAAUAUUUGAUUAUUUCUAUGCAAUAUUACUUAUAAUGUAUCUAGCUAUUCAAACUGUGAAAUGGAAAAUGAGGCAAUUUUGCUUAAUUUUAUGUUUUUUGCAUCACAUAGCUUGGGUACUUGCAUGGGUUUUAAUUGGUAAUUUUUUAAUAUAUAUUUUCACCAGUUUUGUUGGACUUAUGUUUGGAUUUUUUUAAUAUUAAAUUUGUUUUUAUUUUUAGGAUUUUCUUGAAGACUGGGAAGAAUUAAUUGUGUUCAUUAUGUUAUCACCAGAAAGGUGUUAGAAUGCUUGAUACAUAAAAAAAUAACAGUAAGGAAUUCCACCUUUGUAUUAACUUAGCUAGAGAUACAUCAAUUACAUGUAGUUCUGUCUUAAUCAAUGAUUAUAUUUGCCCAAUGGAUAUAUUUUGAGCAUGUGGUAAUAAUAUAAAUGUUCCCAUCUGUAUAACUCAUUAUAGUAUGCUAUUUGAUUUUCCAAACUAUGAUUUGAUUAUUGAAUUUGAUGUCUUUGCUAAAGUUACCCUUGUACUGAGGGAAGUUUUUUGAUCAAAAUACUAGCUAUACUACGGUAUAUUUCCUAUUUUUUCUAUAGCUGGUUUUGAUUUUUUUAGGUACAAAAACUGAAAUCUUUAAAUUUAAUUAGCCAGAGAACUAUCUUUGUUUCAGCAAAGCUUUGUUUAAAAGAUGUGGAUAGCUUAAGAGAGCAGUACUUUUCUCAAUUAACUCUGUCAGCAGACUACAUUUUGUUAAAACCAACUUACCUGAUUUGCUUCAUCAGAAUAAGACAGUCUUAAGUAAAAUGUUUUAAGUUGUUUUGCCAGCUGUCAGCAUAGAUCAUUGCUGAAUUUUGUGUUUACUUUUAUAGAAAAAUGAGAUAUAAUUAGAUAAAUUAAAUGUUGAACUAUGGUUGAAAAGUUUUAAAUUUAAAAACUAAUUUUUUUUAGCAUUUAUAAUAAAAUUUUCUAUUUGUAUGUGAAAGUAAUUAGCUUUUAAAUGUGGAAACAAAUUUUAUCCAGACUAUAAUUUUUAAAGUAAGAAAUGUAAACUUAUUUAAACGUCAAAUUUGCUCACUUGUGAAAUGCAGAAGAAACCAAAACUUUAAUGCAUUAAUUGUGUCACAUUCACUGUUGAGUAUUCCUGUGAGGCAGUGGAUUAAUGGUACAUGAUUAAUCAAAGGCAAAGUUAUGAUGGGUACAUUUUGAAAGCCACGAGGAACAACAAUUAUCACUUAUAAAGGAAGUAUUUUAAAAUUGUGAUUAAUGAAAUAAAAGGAUGCAAAGUGGUCUUACGGUAAAACUGGAUUUCAGACCUGAUGAACCAGGUUUGAACCCAUGCAAUACCAGAAAAUAUUCCUUGGACUUUGAGCAGUGAGUGUGUUAAAGAAGUGACAAUCAUUUCCUUAAUGUGGGUUGUAGGGUGCUUCUGACUUAUUGCCUUCCCUCUGUCAGUUCAAAAUUAGGGACAGUUUCAGAUAGCUUUAGCUUGUUGAAAUGUAUUUUAAAUGAAAAGGAAUGUGUUUCAGCAAAAUUAACAUAACAGAAAGUUUUCUAUAAAAGAAUUUGUAAUAAAAGCUAUUUGUAUUUUAUAGAAAUUGAGAAUAUUGUAUAUAAAUACUCUCUACAGGAACAAUUCAGUUAAUUAUACUAAUUUGUCUACUUUGCUGCUUUUACGUAAAUGUUUCAUUUCUUUAAUUACAAAACACCUAAGGUACAGGUUAGAUAUAUAGAUGUAAUUAAGACAGAAGAUAUUUAGAUUUCACAAACAUAAAGGUAACUUACAUUCCAUAUUUGUAUGGUAAUGGUCAAUUCAAAUAUUUGAAUAUAAAAGUUAAAUAUUAAUGUUUUCUUAUUUUUUUAAAUAUCAAACAUCCCAUCCAAGUUUAUUUAAAAGUAAGGCAAUAUAAAAAAUCUUUUUAACUAUAUUCCAGAAAUGUUUUCAAGAGUUUAAAAAAUAAUCUAAUGGUUGUCGUGUAACUAAAAUUUGUGUGUUAAUAAUGCUGAAUUUAUUGGUAUGGAAUAAAUCAAGUUAUUAAAAGUAAAAAUGUUGGGUAAUUAGAUUACAUAUGGCUUAAGUUAUUGUUAACAUUGAGGUUACCCAGCUGAUGAAACCAUUAAUCCUAAUUUUUAUAAGUAAGAACAUAAGAAAAGUAUAUUUAAUCAGCUAUACUGAUUACCAGGUUGACUUUUAGUUUUGCAUUAAAUAGGUAGUUUCCUGUGAUCAGGAGUUAAUUAUUAAAUGCUACCUGUGCUAUUAGAGACAGAAAUGAAAUGUUGAAUACUGCAUUCUUGUCCAGUUAUUAGGAAAGUACAGUUGAAAUCAAAUUUGAUUUAAAUGAAGGAUAAGUUGGUUCCUUUGGAAAUAUACAUGUAAUAUUUUAAAUACUUUGAAAUAUAACUUCUCAGACAUACAGAAAGUCAUUAUCAGUACUGGAAUUUAUUAUAGUCAACAUGGUCAUUUAAUACAUUAUAUUAAAUUUGUUUACGAUAUUAGGUCUUUUAUGCAAAAUAGACAGUAUUUAUGGUUUAUUAUUUCCUUAGCAUAAGCUCUUAUGAGUAUAAAAUUUUAGUUUGAAAAUCUUUAGAUAAAUGUAAAUCAAUUUAGAUUUUAUUAUUAUUAGGAUAAAUAUAUUCUUUUAUUAUUUAGAUAAUAUUAAUAAUUAGUUUAGUACAGAAAAAUGUGUGUAUUAAAUUGGAUGA
rnacentral:misc_RNA from 1 species